AAUGAAGUGAGCUCCAGGAAGGAGGAAUGUGUGUCAGGCCAGAGGCCCCGAGGAGGCAGUGACACAUUUACCUCAGGAGAAGCAGAGCUGGAGCCCAGGACCUGAGGACUCAGUAAUUGAGAGUGUUUGAGCCCGCCUGGGGAGCUCUCCACAAAUACAGUUGUCCACCUGGGUAGCUGAGGAGGAUUAAAAAUAGCCCAGCAAGAUGUUGGCUUAUCCCUGAGAGAACAGAAUUAGUUGUCUGGAAAGACAGAGCAUAUUAGAGGAGGAUGAAAGCUCACUUUGGAACCUGGGUAAAGUGUGCAUGGGAUCCUGGAAAUCACUGCAUCUAAUGAGAGUCUGGCUGCUGCUGCAGAGUUAUCUUUGCUUCUCUUUGACUCUUUAAUUGCUGGUAAUAGCCAAACUUGGUUUCCUGCUGGCUGGGUCUGAAGUCCUUCAUCUUGUUUGGAGCAAUGAGAAAUCACCAGGAUAAAGCUGUGCUGUUAAUAUCCAAGGAAUAUGGCUAACCAGCUGCCAUCAAUCUUCAUGCAAACUAGACAUUCAGCCUUAAACUGCAUCAUCCUUAACGGAGUGAUGCAGUUAAGCAAGCAUCAAGUGGCCCCAGGGCAAAGAUGUUUCAGUUUCAUUGAGCUUUUUUUUUUUGAUCUGGCAAGAGCCAGGUCUUGGGUUUUGGUAAUCUGAGUCCUCCAGAAGGUGAUGCUGCAGGGGAUGGGGUCACACACCUGAGAGAGCUGCCCAUGGCCUUGUGCCAGGCUGGCCUUGGCACCAAGCACCCCAGAGGAGCUGGGUGAGGAAUUCUGCUCUUCCUGGCCUUCCCCUGGCUCUGCACAGAGGUUUAGCAGCUCCAGGGAUGGUUUCCUGUGGUUCCUGGCACACACAGGAGAGGUUCUGGCCUUGAUGCUUUGAUGGAGGGCUUGGCACUCUCUGCUCUGCUCAGAGCAGCUUGGCUGGUGUUGGCAGUACAAACAGGGCCCUUUCUCCCUGCAGGAGGGUAAUAACUAACCAGGGAUCCCUCUGAGCAGCCUGGGGAGAGAAAUCAAUCAGUGGAAAUCCCAGCUGAAGCACAGAAGAGAGGAUCUAAAUUUAGUGCAGGCUGCCUGGGGCUCCUGAGGUUUGUGGCUGCUGGGGCAGUUGCUCGAAAGCUGAGCCUGCAUCCAAAGGCUGCAGGCAAUGCAGGAGAGCAACACACUCUGCUGUACUUCCAGCUCCAGACAAACCCCGUGAUUUCUCAGUGACCUGUUGUUUUGCCCUUGGCAUUCCCCAGCAGAAGAGUCAGCAGGUUGGCAUCUCCACUGGAAACAAGUCAGUACAGCUCCUGCUUGGGACUGAGAAUGUUGAGUCUUUUAAAGGAAAAAAAUAAAAUCCACACUUCCUUUAGACACUGCUUGUUACUUUUUCUCAAGAGACAAUUUGUGGAUGCUACACUUAGGCCUGGAAGCAAACUAGAAACCUUGCUAAGUCUCCAAACUUCAAAUUACAGCAGAACACGUUCCUGGGGCUGAUAAAAGCUGCCAAGGACUCUCAGUUUGGAAAGCCAGCAGCACUGAAAAUUGAAUUCCUGGGGAAGAGAAACUGUGACCAGAGGAAAUUGCUGCUGCUCACUGAGGAUGGAAUGGCUCUUGCUGUAACCUGAAUUUGGUGCCAUCAACCCCAACAUCAGCACUAGGACCAAACUCCUGCAGGUUUUGCUCACUGAUUUCAAAGCAAUCCUUCCUUCAGUGCCCAUGGAGUGGUGGAAAGGACUCCAGAUGAGUGAGAGGCACAAAGAAAAAGUACUUGCAGUGAUCUACUUGCCCAUUAAAUGUUCUCUGGAAGGGGUCAUUGUUAAUGUUGCUGCUUCCCAUCUAAACAGGAACACAGAGCCCUCCUUGACAGGGAGUUUAGCAGAGCUGAAGGGAUUAGGGGGUGUUACAAUAUCUCACUUCUAAAAAGUUAAUGUAUUAGGGGAGUGUGAGUCUAGACACGUAUUGCAAGACUGAUUUAGGAUCUUAAAGUGGAUUCUGCCUUUCAUUCUGGCUUUUAUUAAAAGCUUUGUAGUACAUCUUUAAAGAGCCACUAAAGCCACAGUGAAAACAUAAAGGAGGAAAUAAUAGAAGCAGAAAGAUUUUUUUUUUUAAAAAUGGAUUUCUUCCCCCAUUUUCUCUCUUGCCCCUACUCAGAGUUGAAAGCCAUUUGCAUAAAAACAUGAUGUUCAUUUUUUUUCCUUUAAAAACACAACUCACUUCCUCCUAACUCUCUUCCCCUGAAAGCUGGGGGUCACCGUGCAAGAUUAAUGCCAGACUGUGGAGCAGCAGAAUGCCUCAAAUUCAGAAGUUCAUCCAAACUUCCUCCAGCUGCAGAGUGGUUGAGAUAGGAGCAAGCUGGGGGAAUUUGAGACAAGGUAAUCGGUCCUCUGAAGGAGUUGGAGUAGCUGCCAAAAGAUGAUGGACAAGGAUGCUGUGUAGAUUUAUGGAGGGUGUGGGUUUUGCUGCAGUUGGUGAGAAAAUACCUAUAGGAACACAGAUCUGCAGAACCUUGGAGAACACAGUUAUUUGUGUGGGCAGGUCCAGCUAAACAUGCUGAAUUAGAGUUAUUUCACCUCUAAUUUUGGAAAGAAAAAUAGCCUGGCACCCAACUUGAGGGAUACCUGAGGUCUGCUUUUGCAGGCAAAACCAUCCUGAGAUGGAAGAACAUCUGCUGUUCAUUUUUAUUUUAUCUUUUUUUUCUCCCAGUCUCUUAACUUCUUAGAGUCCUUUCAACUCCCAGGCACCCAAACCACUGAAAGCAGGACUGCCUGGCUUCAGGUGAGGAGGGAACAGCAGGAACAGAUGGAUUCCUCAGCACCAGAGCCUGGUUUCCAUGCCAAUCGAGCCUGCUGACAGAGAACAAGGAGUCAAACUCUGCUGACAAAAGAUGUGGGAGCUGCUGGCUGAAAAUUUCCCGAGGCUCUGGUGGUUCCAUACCA